AUGCGCGCGAGGGCGGCGGCGAGGAGCGCGCCGGGGACACUAGCAGGACGUACUGCACGAACUCAGCGUCCAACGAGGAAGCGUACCGCGGAGGCGGAAGACCGCGCGCCGGUCGUGCUAGGGCUCCCGUGAGAGAUCCUAGCCGGUGCAGAGCAUCUCCACCCAGGCGUUGGGAAGUGAGGUUGUGCAAUUGGAAGAUCUGCAUAAGGUUGUGGUCUUCAUCCCGAUUGAUGGUCAAAUCCGAGACAUUAUUAUAUAGCCAAAGAUCACAGCGGCAUGUACAAUUAUACCAUGUUCAGGUUGUGGUCUUCAUCCUGAUUGAUGGCACAAACUUGACAUACGCUGAGAUGUAUGAGCUGCAGUUGCUCUUAGUACGACACUCCACGCUUGCUGGGAUGUGCUUGCAGUCCCUCUUAGCACAACAAUACAACUUGCUCUUUUAGCAUUUUUUUUUUCUCUAGAAGGACUGGUAUAGUGCAUGUCUGAAAUUAUUAUUUGCAAAUACCAGCGAUUUUUGCAGCGUGAGGAUAGAACUGUUUUUAUAUUUAGUGAUGAUUGGUAUUUGGCAGGGAUUUCCUGCUUGCUCAAUCAAUUAUUAACAUAGGGGAUUCAGAUAUAUAUCAGGUUUUACUUCCUUUUAAUACCUAUCUGUGGGGAAUCCUGCAGUGUUAAUUGUUUGUCAAGAGAAGUACGUAAUUUCAAGUCCAAUGGUUGGUCAUUUCGAUACAAAAUAUUUGAGCAAUGUGUGUCCGGGUUAAAUUGUGCUAAGUCGUCAUAUUGGCACUUAUAGGGUUGGCGUCUGGUAUUUCUUUUUGGUCAUCACACUAGCUCUUGGGGCCAUUGGGGCAUUACAUAUGUUGGUACUGCAUGCAGAUAAAUUAUGAAAUCCCGUCUUGAUUGUGCCAAACUUAUUUUCUGAACGUAUGAUAAUAUACAUGUCAGAACUGUCAAGACCGAACAUUUUUUUCUCCAGUAAGGUUCAUUUGUGUUUUAAUGGCAUGACAAGGCAAGGUAAAAAAUUAUAAAUUUACACUGGCUUUUAGACAUGCACGGAUUGACUAACAUGACUUUUCACCAGGUUGUUUCCCACUGACGCUUUAUACUUCUCUAUCUCACUAAUUAGUUACAUCAUGAGGAGAUAAGUUGUUGGUCGAUAGAACCAUAGUGUGCUCAGCCAUUUUCCUGGCAAAUAAGGGCUGAAGUGUUUCUUCUUCUGAAAGUUGGAAAUGAUUCCCACUGAUUACGGUUGCCGCUCCGCUCCUUCCUCCGUGCGGCGCAUGGUUUUGAGAGAGCUGACAGGAAUGAACAAGAAAGAAGAAAUGUGGAGAGCACCAGGACUAGGCCUGCAGCCAUGGUGACCUUCAACGCCUGGGAGUGGCAAGCUGAAGCAUGUCCAAUGCUCUACAGGACAAAACAACACAUCGUUGUGCACGCCACAUGCAUAUGUUGGCCUUAGACAUCACUUGCCCAAAUUCAAGAGAGGAGCCAAGGUAUUUUUGUAUACAUUGUGCUGUUAUUCAGCAAGCAACCUACAUCUUUUAUCGCUUCA